UUAAGCGACUAAGCGUACACGGUGGAUGCCCUGGCAGUCAGAGGCGAUGAAGGACGUGCUAAUCUGCGAAAAGCGUCGGUAAGGUGAUAUGAACCGUUAUAACCGGCGAUGUCCGAAUGGGGAAACCCAGUGCAAUUCGUUGCACUAUCGUUAACUGAAUACAUAGGUUAACGAGGCGAACCGGGGGAACUGAAACAUCUAAGUACCCCGAGGAAAAGAAAUCAACCGAGAUUCCCCCAGUAGCGGCGAGCGAACGGGGAGCAGCCCAGAGUCUGAAUCAGCUUGUGUGUUAGUGGAACGGUCUGGAAAGUCCGACGGUACAGGGUGAUAGUCCCGUACACCAAAAUGCACAGGCUGUGAACUCGAAGAGUAGGGCGGGACACGUGGUAUCCUGUCUGAAUAUGGGGGGACCAUCCUCCAAGGCUAAAUACUCCUGACUGACCGAUAGUGAACCAGUACCGUGAGGGAAAGGCGAAAAGAACCCCGGCGAGGGGAGUGAAAAAGAACCUGAAACCGUGUACGUACAAGCAGUGGGAGCACCUUCGGGUGUGACUGCGUACCUUUUGUAUAAUGGGUCAGCGACUUAUAUUCUGUAGCAAGGUUAACCGUAUAGGGGAGCCGCAGGGAAACCGAGUCUUAACUGGGCGUUAAGUUGCAGGGUAUAGACCCGAAACCCGGUGAUCUAGCCAUGGGCAGGUUGAAGGUUGGGUAACACUAACUGGAGGACCGAACCGACUAAUGUUGAAAAAUUAGCGGAUGACUUGUGGCUGGGGGUGAAAGGCCAAUCAAACCGGGAGAUAGCUGGUUCUCCCCGAAAGCUAUUUAGGUAGCGCCUCGUGAAUUCAUCUUCGGGGGUAGAGCACUGUUUCGGCUAGGGGGUCAUCCCGACUUACCAACCCGAUGCAAACUGCGAAUACCGAAGAAUGUUAUCACGGGAGACACACGGCGGGUGCUAACGUCCGUCGUGAAGAGGGAAACAACCCAGACCGCCAGCUAAGGUCCCAAAGUCAUGGUUAAGUGGGAAACGAUGUGGGAAGGCACAGACAGCCAGGAUGUUGGCUUAGAAGCAGCCAUCAUUUAAAGAAAGCGUAAUAGCUCACUGGUCGAGUCGGCCUGCGCGGAAGAUGUAACGGGGCUAAACCAUGCACCGAAGCUGCGGCAGCGACACUAUGUGUUGUUGGGUAGGGGAGCGUUCUGUAAGCCUGCGAAGGUGUGCUGUGAGGCAUGCUGGAGGUAUCAGAAGUGCGAAUGCUGACAUAAGUAACGAUAAAGCGGGUGAAAAGCCCGCUCGCCGGAAGACCAAGGGUUCCUGUCCAACGUUAAUCGGGGCAGGGUGAGUCGACCCCUAAGGCGAGGCCGAAAGGCGUAGUCGAUGGGAAACAGGUUAAUAUUCCUGUACUUGGUGUUACUGCGAAGGGGGGACGGAGAAGGCUAUGUUAGCCGGGCGACGGUUGUCCCGGUUUAAGCAUGUAGGCUGGUUGUCCAGGCAAAUCCGGAUAAUCAAGGCUGAGGUGUGAUGACGAGGCACUACGGUGCUGAAGUAACAAAUGCCCUGCUUCCAGGAAAAGCCUCUAAGCAUCAGGUAACAUUAAAUCGUACCCCAAACCGACACAGGUGGUCAGGUAGAGAAUACCAAGGCGCUUGAGAGAACUCGGGUGAAGGAACUAGGCAAAAUGGUGCCGUAACUUCGGGAGAAGGCACGCUGGUGUGUAGGUGAAGUCCCUGCGGAUGGAGCUGAGACCAGUCGAAGAUACCAGCUGGCUGCAACUGUUUAUUAAAAACACAGCACUGUGCAAACACGAAAGUGGACGUAUACGGUGUGACGCCUGCCCGGUGCCGGAAGGUUAAUUGAUGGGGUUAUCCGUAAGGAGAAGCUCUUGAUCGAAGCCCCGGUAAACGGCGGCCGUAACUAUAACGGUCCUAAGGUAGCGAAAUUCCUUGUCGGGUAAGUUCCGACCUGCACGAAUGGCGUAAUGAUGGCCAGGCUGUCUCCACCCGAGACUCAGUGAAAUUGAACUCGCUGUGAAGAUGCAGUGUACCCGCGGCAAGACGGAAAGACCCCGUGAACCUUUACUAUAGCUUGACACUGAACAUUGAGCCUUGAUGUGUAGGAUAGGUGGGAGGCUUUGAAGCGUGGACGCCAGUCUGCGUGGAGCCAACCUUGAAAUACCACCCUUUAAUGUUUGAUGUUCUAACGUUGGCCCCUUAUCGGGGUUGCGGACAGUGUCUGGUGGGUAGUUUGACUGGGGCGGUCUCCUCCCAAAGCGUAACGGAGGAGCACGAAGGUUAGCUAAUCCUGGUCGGACAUCAGGAGGUUAGUGCAAUGGCAUAAGCUAGCUUGACUGCGAGCGUGACGGCGCGAGCAGGUGCGAAAGCAGGUCAUAGUGAUCCGGUGGUUCUGAAUGGAAGGGCCAUCGCUCAACGGAUAAAAGGUACUCCGGGGAUAACAGGCUGAUACCGCCCAAGAGUUCAUAUCGACGGCGGUGUUUGGCACCUCGAUGUCGGCUCAUCACAUCCUGGGGCUGAAGUAGGUCCCAAGGGUAUGGCUGUUCGCCAUUUAAAGUGGUACGCGAGCUGGGUUUAGAACGUCGUGAGACAGUUCGGUCCCUAUCUGCCGUGGGCGCUGGAGAAUUGAGGGGGGCUGCUCCUAGUACGAGAGGACCGGAGUGGACGCAUCACUGGUGUUCGGGUUGUCAUGCCAAUGGCACUGCCCGGUAGCUAAAUGCGGAAGAGAUAAGUGCUGAAAGCAUCUAAGCACGAAACUUGCCCCGAGAUGAGUUCUCCCUGAGACUUUAAGUCUCCUGAAGGAACGUUGAAGACGACGACGUUGAUAGGCCGGGUGUGUAAGCGCAGCGAUGCGUUGAGCUAACCGGUACUAAUGAACCGUGAGGCUUAACCUU
rnacentral:rRNA from 1 species